CAAGUGUCUUUAUCCCAGGGUUUCAUAAAACCCACUGUUUCCUUCCUCUCAGGCUACUCUUCCCAUAUCUUUUUCUUUCUUCUUAGCUUGAUUUUACUCAACUAAUACUUAUUGAACACCUGGCGUGUAGCAAGCAUGGUGCUAAGCAUUUUCCAAAGGUAGCUGGUAUAUUUCUCACUGCACAAGAAAUAAAACUUUAUUUCCCUAAAAUAAGUUUCCUUUCUAAUGUGCACAUCCAGCUUACAUGGCUCACAUGAUGUUUUCAUUCAAACUUUCCUGAAGUUCCCAACAUCCCCUCACCCAGGGUCAUACCAGAAUCUAGUAAAUGAAAAAAUGAUGUGAGAAGUUUCAUUGGCAUGCAUGUCUUUGCUGUGCAUGUGUGUGUGUAGGUCCCUUGAGGUUUGCUAAUCUCCUGUUUCCAGGCUCUGGACAGGACCCCCAGGGCCUAGGUCCCACCUCCCCAAAAGGAUCACAUAGCACACCUUGGAGUGUAACCACAUGCUCAGAUCCACAGACUUCUCUCCAAUUCUGAAUCCAAGGAAAAGCCACUCUCUCUCUCUCUCUCUCUCUCUCUCAGCACUCUAAAGCCUAUUUCUUUUUACCUCUUCAGUGGAUUUCUGUUUCACAAAAGACAGGAAAUCCAUUCAUUUCAGAUUGCUUCGACUUCCCACCCCUACUUUGCAAAAAGACUCAAAGCCAAGAAAAUACUUUAAAAGAGUAUGUCCUCCUUGGUGGGAAAUGGAGAUAAAAAUAAGGGAAAAUUUUUACCAAAUUAUAAUUCAGUGAGAUUUCCUGCCAUAAUUUUUACACCAAGUCUGAGAAGUAAGUAUUGUUAUCACUGUUUUACAUAAGAUGAAAAAAUUUAGAGUUUAUGUUGCCCAACACCAUGCAACUGCAAAUCUUCAGCUUUAAAAAAAAUUUUUUUUUAAUUUAUUGAGAGAGUGCAACCAGGGAAAGGGCAGAGAGAGAGGAGAGAGAAUCAUAAGCAGACCCCCCAUUCAGUGCAGAACCCCAACUCAGGACUCGACCUCACAACCCUGAGAUCAUGACCUGAGCUGAAGUCAAGAAUCAGACGCUGAACCUACUGCAAUACCCAGGUGCCCCAACAAAUCUCCAGCAUUUAACUGUGGCCUGAUGGGCCUGUACUCUUGUCUCCAGCCUGAAAUGCUGGUGCUUUUCCCUUCCCAGAAUACUGCAGAGGGUCUCCAGCACUCAAGCACUCAAUCGAACACUGAAUGGCACUUGAGACUUUGUGGGAGGAACUCCCUAAAGGCAGGGAAGCAGCCACCUGAAGGAAUUAGAGGGCACAGCGCCCAGUGUCACACAAGUACUGGAGUCUUGCCUGCUCCCAAUAGCCAGAGUGCAAAACUUCAGAGGGCAGGGCAUCAUUUCCAUUUUUGCAUUCCAGCCCAAACUGAACAUCCCUGCCAAGAGGGGUCAGGGACAUGUGCUUCCUAGAAAUGCAGCCCAAACAGAGACUCCUGCCACUCUCGGUUGGGCCUCCAGCAGUGCUCUAUUUACCCCAGCUUACAAACUCAAACAUCUAAACCUGGUCCCUCACUGUCCCAUACAGUCCUUUUGCUCAAAGCCAUGAGAGAGUUCCCCUUGCCUUUACCACUUCCCACCCACAAGGCAGCCCGGCCCUGACUCAGCAAAGACAGAGUGAGAGACAGUUGAAGUGAGAGAAGUACAAACCGGAGGAAUCAUCUGGACUUUACUAUAGUCACCCUCUUCCCAACCACCACAAGGAAUAAUGGGCAGUGGAUUUGGGGGCUGUGGCUCUUGGGCAGUUAUACAAACCCAACUGGCACCAAACAUUACUUUUGUUCAGAGAUUUUUUUUUUUAAGUCAACUCUCCUAAAAACAAUUCAGAAUGUUUUUGCUCUUGGGAAACCAUGUGGCUGCUUUCCUGGUUUACACUAUUUACAGUGAGCUCAUUUUAGAGAGGCAAUUUCUGAAUCCAUCCACUAGAACAGGGACCACCAUGCUAGCGAGCCUUUGGCAACUUGCUCAAUGAAAGCAUGAAUGGACUAAGGUCUCAAUAUAAAAAAUAACAAAUACCCCAACUUAAAAUAGUCCUUCAGGCCUCAUUUUAACAGAGCCCCUGUCCAUUCAGGGACUUUUGUAAAUAACCCCACAAUUAAUGGCAUGUGUUUAUCGGCAAAGCCACUCACCUGAAAUACAGAGUGGUUGAUGUUCUCUCUGGGUAUGAAGUUUAUUUAUGAGAAAGAAAGAUUUGACCUAAGGAUAAAAAUAGAGCAGCAGUGCUCAACUAAAUUUGCAACUGCUCACCCCAAAAGCCUCGAGUAUAAUCUAUUUUGAGAAGAGUUCAAUUUGAGGUGAUACAGAAAUCUAGCUGGGCCAGGAGCUUGCAGCUAUUACCACUAUUAAUAAAACACAGAAGCGACCCUUCUCUUGUAGCAUUACUGCUGGGAAACAACAUGAUAGCACUUCACGGGUAUCAGGUGUACUUUACGUGGAAUUACGUUUAGAGCAUACUAUGUAAUUGUUACGUAUCUCUGUCAAUAGACUGGAAUCGUAAAUCAGAUUGUCACACUCCUGCUUGAGACUUCUUUAUUUUUCCAUUGCACUUAUGGUUCUAAGGGUCUACUCACCUGGUCCCUAUCAACCUUGCCCCUACGCUCAGGUACACCUGUCUCCUUUCAGAUCCUCACACAUUCCAAGAUCUUUCCCACCCCUGGUCCUUGGCCACUCUCUUCUUUCCAGUCAAAGGUCUUCUCAUCCUCCAAGUCUCGGCUUUUCUCUUGCUACCCCUUGUCCCUCUGCACCUGUUACUUCCUUCACAACCUGUAUCACAACCAUGACAAUUAGAACCAUGUCUGUCUUUUGCAGUGUCAUCCCCAACAGCAAGUAUAGGUAGCAAGUGAUCAAUAUGUUGCUAUCAACUAUCAAACAAAUAAUGAGUCAUAUUCCAAUUCAUUUCUACCAUAUUCUCACCCUAGCCCAAACUACAAAGCCCAAUGCAAGCAUUCUUCCCUGUUGCCAUCCUCAUUUUUCUCUUUUCCAUGUAAUCUUCCCUGAGCUCCUCAUUUUUCAGUGUUUAGAGACAAGGCAUAUGAAGGGCCAGAGAUGUGCGUGGAAUAUAGUGGCUGUUCCAUAAAUACAGCAGUCAUUAGUAUCAUCAUGUUCAGUUCUUCCUGGGGAUUCCAAUAGCUGGUUUCCAGCCAUCACUCUUUUUCUCUUACCACCUUCGUGACGUUUCCCAUAUCCCUUUAAAAUCUCUCCUACUUCUGUUAUAAUGUGUUUUUUAUUUCACAAAUAUCUUCCUACUUAAACAAAUUUAUUUUUGAAGGAAGCUUUAUAGAAAUGAAAAACGCAUUUCACCAACCACGAAAGGGGCAACUGUAAAAAGUAACAUAAAGAAAACAAAGCAAUACGCUGUCCUCUUUUCCUUUUUUUCUGAAAGGGGGAUUAGCAACUGCUAGAGAUAUUAGGAUGCUAGUGUGAUCCUUUCUUCAAGACACAAUCAGAAAAUUCCUUACUCUUGUUUCAUUACUUAAAGUUGUGUCCAUCUCAACCAUUCUACCUACCAUUUAGAUCCCUGUCAUAUUGUACUACUACUAACACUUUUUAUUAUUUAUUAUUAUUUAUUAUUUUCUACCUGAAUGGGUUCAUUACACUUUUACAGCUAUGCCUUAACCCACUGUCUUAUUUCUUUUUAUAUCCUCCAUGAUUCAUAGGUUGAUACCUUAUACAGAAUAUAUGUUUAAGACAGUCUCAGUUGAGCUUAAUACUUAGAGCUUUAAACCAACUAAUUUAUCAUAAGAACCUACUUCUCCAAAAGUCAAAAUAUUUUUCAAAGAGAUUGGUGAAAGAGUGUAUUCAAGAGGUCUUCUGGUUCCCC
rnacentral:lncRNA from 1 species